AUUGAACGCUGGCGGAAUGCUUUACACAUGCAAGUCGAACGGCAGCACGGACUUCGGUCUGGUGGCGAGUGGCGAACGGGUGAGUAAUGUAUCGGAACGUGCCCAGUCGUGGGGGAUAACGUAGUGAAAAUUACGCUAAUACCGCAUACGAUCUAUGGAUGAAAGCGGGGGAUCGCAAGACCUCGCGCGAUUGGAGCGGCCGAUAUCAGAUUAGGUAGUUGGUGGGGGAAAGGCCCACCAAGCCAACGAUCUGGAGCUGGUCUGAGAGGACGACCAGCAACACUGGAACUGAGACACGGUCCAGACUCCUACGGGAGGCAGCAGUGGGGAAUUUUGGACAAUGGGCGAAAGCCUGAUCCAGCCAUUCCGCGUGCAGGAUGAAGGCCCUCGGGUUGUAAACUGCUUUUGUACAGAACGAAAAGGUUUCUACUAAUACUAGGAGCUCAUGACGGUACUGUAAGAAUAAGCACCGGCUAACUACGUGCCAGCAGCCGCAGUAA
rnacentral:rRNA from 1 species